rnacentral:rRNA from 1 species
AUUGAACGCUGGCGGCAUGCUUUACACAUGCAAGUCGAACGGCAGCGCGGGCUUCGGCCUGGCGGCGAGUGGCGAACGGGUGAGUAAUACAUCGGAACGUGCCCAGUAGUGGGGGAUAGCUCGGCGAAAGCCGGAUUAAUACCGCAUACGACCUGUGGGUGAAAGCGGGGGAUCUUCGGACCUCGCGCUAUUGGAGCGGCCGAUGGCAGAUUAGCUAGUUGGUGGGGUAAAGGCCUACCAAGGCGACGAUCCGUAGCUGGUCUGAGAGGACGACCAGCCACACUGGGACUGGGACACGGCCCAGACUCCUACGGGAGGCAGCAGUGGGGAAUGUUGGACAAUGGGCGAAAGCCUGAUGCAGCAAUGCCGCGUGUGUGAUGAAGGCCUUCGGGUUGUAAAGCACUUUUGGCGGGAACGAAAAGGACUGUGCCAAUACCACGGUUCGAUGACGGUACCCGCAGAAUAAGCACCGGCUAACUACGUG